UACGAAGGGGGCUAGCGUUGUUCGGAAUUACUGGGCGUAAAGGGCGCGUAGGCGGUGUGUCAAGUCAGGCGUGAAAGCCCCGGGCUCAACCUGGGAACCGCGCUUGAGACUGGCACGCUAGAGUUCGGGAGAGGAUGGUGGAAUUCCCAGUGUAGAGGUGAAAUUCGUAAGAUAUCUGGGAGGAACACCGGUGGCGAAGGCGGCAUCCUGGACUGGUAUUGACGCUGAGGCGCGAAAGGCUAGGGGAGCAAACGGG
rnacentral:rRNA from 1 species